rnacentral:sRNA from 1 species
AAACAAACGGAGCUUGAAUCCGUCUUCACUGACACCAUUGAUCUUUGUUAGGUUGCAGAGCCUAUCGAAUUCAUCAAGGUGGUCGAGUGGAUCCUCCAUUGGCAAACCAUGGAAUUUGUUCCCCUGAAUCAUCGAGAUGAGCCCACUCUUAAUCUCAAAAUUGUUGUUCUGGAUAGCAGGAGGUGCAAUUCCCUUCCUCUGACGGGGAUCACGUGGUGCAUCUCCAGCACCAAUGUUGGCAGGGCCAUUUUGUUGAUUCUGGUCGCCAGCCAUUUCGAGUGGUUGCUGAGGUACAGGGUUGACUGUGGUUCUCCUUUUUCUGAGUUCGCGAGCUGUGCGGGGUAUGUUGUCGUUGAAAAGGAGCUUCUGGUUGCCUGUUGAUCGAGUUCGCAUACAGCAGAGCUGUACCAAUCAAGAAGACAACAAGAAAAACACACAGUUAGUAACCGAAAAGAAAAUUGAAAAAAAACUUGAUCUAAGCAAGUCUGAAAUCUUAAAUGUAACAAACAAACACCCAAUUGGCAACGGCGCCAAAUUGAUAAUAGGUUUUGAUGUCAAUUAUCCUAAAACACCAAUCAUGUCGUUGUAGUAUUUUAGGUUGUCAAUCCAAAUGGGUGUGAUGCUAACAAUCAAGAUGUGAUCAGAUGUCACUAAGUCAAGCCAAGCAUAACAUGUUUUGGUGUGUUCUAGCAGUCCUAAGUGAACAUGCAGAAAACAGAAAAUCAAACAUAAACAGUAAAACACUCGACCAACACAGCUCUUUGCAGAGCACUGGGUGAGGUCGAGUGACAGGUCGAGUAACAGACAGAAAAUGAAACAGGGAUACUCGACUGCACAGUCUGUUGCCAGACAACUAGGUGGUCGAGUACCAAGUCGAGUAACAGUAAAGAAUUGCAGAAACUAAGCAACAGAUGACAGGAUGCAGUAAACAGCAGUAGAGUAAACAAUAAAAUCAAUCAGACAAAGAAUUCCUAAGGAUGGGGUAAUUGAGUAAUUUCGUUUCCUCAGUUUACAGGUGAUUGACAUGCUCAAUAAAUAAACCCUAGACAACAAGUUCAUCAACCAAAUCUAAGUGCCACCGCAACAGAGACUCUCAAGCUAACCUAGUCCCAGACUCAAUCACCAUUGACGAGAGCUAACCUAACAGGCAUUACGAAUCAACAAGUUAAAGCCAAAACGCUCCCUACAACUAAUACCUUGGUACAGGGUCACGAAUCUCUGGAAUUAGUGGUUCAGACAUUUCAUCGAACACCUUUUGGGCGCGGAAAUGUCUGGGCUCAAAUUCCAGUUGAUCAGAAAGCAAUAGGCAUUAAGAACAACUAAUCCAGAAGGGAUCUAUCAAUCAAUACUCAAUCAUCUAGCAUACUGAGAAUUCUACACUACUCUAACCCAUCCUCAGAAACCUAUUCACUCCUCAAACAUCAUAACAGAAGGCAUAAACAUUGAACAAGUUGAAAACAUGCUAACAACAGUGUAACAGCAGGAUGAUAACAGAAUGAACAACAGUAAACAAAAUCAAGAACAAAAGCUGAAUACUGAAGAGAAAUCCGGAUUACAAAAAGUCUAGAACACAAGGUCUGCGGAAAUAAAACUAGGUAAAAAACUUCUUGUCUGCGAAAAUGAGAAGUACAUGCUACUUAUAGCAAAAUAUCCCGAAACCCUAAUACUCAAAACGACGAAGUAUUUGGACGGGUUAAGAACUGUACUCGACCCAGGUGGUCGAGUGAGAGGUCGAGUGAAUAGCUGGAGUCUUCUUUUCUUCCUUGUGCUCGAGUGUCUGGUUGAGUGCGGAAUGAAGAAGGCUCUGAAGCUUGUCAUCGAGUAUGCAGUCAAGUGUUGUGAUGGCGAUACUCGACCUCUAGGUUGAGUGACGAGGUCGAGUAGUGGUCUGGCAGUGAAGGUGAAGGCACUCGACCUCAUGGUCGAGUGAAGUGAUCGAGUGAUGGUCUGGUGAUGGAGAUGAGGGCACUCGACCUCGUGGUCGAGUGGUGAAGUGAAGUGGUGAUGUCCUCUGCUCGACCUGUGGGUCGAGUGGUCUCUUGAGAUCCUGAAGCUCCUACUCGACCUCUUGGUCGAGUGGUUUGUCGUGAUCAGGUCCGCUUCUUCCAAAUAGCUCGUCAACAGCUCCAAAUCACUUGAAAUCAACGCAAAUAUGCAACAUGCAUGCAAAACUAUCCUAAACAUGCAAAGUGAUGACAAAUGAUGUGAAAUGGUAUAAAACAGUGAUGAUAUGAUGCUAAAGUGAUGACAAAUGGAUGCUCAAACAUGCAAAAUACACACUUAUCAAAGAAGAAGAAGGUUCUUCGAGAACUGAAUCUCAAAUUUAUGUCAAAACAAAGAUUUAAAUUGCAAAAUAAAUUACAAUCUUAAAGAAAACAAGGGCUCGUAUUCUCGUAUUGGUCCAGAGAGAAGAGAAAGCUAUCGCGUAGAGUGGAUUUGAAGAUAUUAUGGGAAAGGUUUUUUU